CCGCUNGAACUUAAGCAUAUCAAUAAGCGGAGGAAAAGAAACCAACAGGGAUUACCUCAGUAACGGCGAGUGAAGCGGUAACAGCUCAAAUUUGAAAGCUGCCAACAGGCCGCGUUGUAAUUUGUAGAAGCUGCUUUGGGUGUCGGCCCGGUCUAAGUUCCUUGGAACAGGACGUCAUAGAGGGUGAGAAUCCCGUAUGUGAUCGGUGCCGUUACCCGUGUAAAGCGCUUUCGACGAGUCGAGUUGUUUGGGAAUGCAGCUCAAAAUGGGUGGUAAAUUUCAUCUAAAGCUAAAUAUUGGCCAGAGACCGAUAGCGCACAAGUAGAGUGAUCGAAAGAUGAAAAGCACUUUGGAAAGAGAGUUAAACAGUACGUGAAAUUGUUGAAAGGGAAGCGCUUGCAACCAGACUUGCGGGCGGUCGAUCAUCCGAGGUUCUCCCCGGUGCACUCGAUCGUUCUCAGGCCAGCAUCGGUUUCCGGGGUGGGAUAAAGGCGGUGGGAAUGUGGCUCUUCGGAGUGUUAUAGCCCAUCGUGCAAUGCCGCCACCGGGGACCGAGGACCGCGCUUCGGCUAGGAUGCUGGCGUAAUGGUUGUAAGCGACCCGUCUGNAAAACACGGAA
rnacentral:rRNA from 1 species